AAAGUCGUAACAAGGUCUCCGUUGGUGAACCAGCGGAGGGAUCAUUACAGAAUCUGGCAUAUACUGUGUCAUGGCUCUGCCAACCCCGCGAACUUUAUACAUGUACGUUGCCUCGGCGGACCCUGCCCGGCCCUCCCUUUUGGGGGAAAGGAACAGCCCGCCGGCCGGCAUUUACGCAAACGCUCUGAAUUAGCUCCGCGCUCCUUCUGAACAGAAAACUUUAACGAGUAAAAACUUUUGGCAACGGAUCUCUUGGCUCUG
rnacentral:misc_RNA from 1 species